rnacentral:rRNA from 2 species
AGCAUCCGUAGCCGGUUGCAUAAGUUUUCGGUUAAAUCUAUGCGCUCAACGUAUAGGCCGCCGAAAAUACUGUGCAGCUAGGGAGUGGGAGAGGUACACGGUACUCGGUAGGAAGGGGUAAAAUCCUUUGAUCUAUUGAUGACCACCUGUGGCGAAGGCGGUGUACCAGAACACGUUCGACGGUGAGGGAUGAAAGCUGGGGGAGCAAACCGGAUUAGAUACCCGGGUAGUCCCAGCUGUAAACGAUGCAGACUCGGUGAUGCAUUGGCUUGUGGCCAAUGCAGUGCCGCAGGGAAGCCGUUAAGUCUGCCGCCUGGGAAGUACGUACGCAAGUAUGAAACUUAAAGGAAUUGGCGGGGGAGCA